GUGACGCCAAAGGGACUGGGGGUAAGGAUCAGAUUUUUUUAGGGUGUAGAUGGGAGAUAUCCUGGUGAUAGCCAAAUAUUCCUGCAGCCUCAUUUUCAAUAUAUUGUUGUUGCAGUUGAUAUCUCUUAGAUACAAUGAAUCAGUAACAUGCGUGAUGCAGAUGAUUGACCAUUUUCUUGGAACUUGAAACUUGCUAAACCAAAUAAAAAGGGUACUUCUGUAGUUCUCCUUACUUGUUAUGAUUAUUUCACAUAUCAUGGCUUGGGUGUUUAAAGACAUAAAGUACUGGGUGCAAAAGUUAAUGAUCAGUUUCUUUAUGAUUAAAUUACUGUUUCCCUUUUCUUUUAUUUUCUUGAUAUUUGAGCUGCCUUAGCAUUCUUGCUGGUGGUCUUGAACUGAAGGAAUUACCCAGUUCAUGUCAUUUGAUUUAUGUAGAGGUUUGGUCAUGCAUUUGGUGAACGAUUUUUAUUUAUGCACAUGGUUCAAUAAAUUUUGUUCUUCUCAUGGAACAUUUUACUGUCCGACUUCAAGGACUAUUCAUUAACAUUUUUUUAACAGCCUAUGGUGGGUUUGGAAUUCUUAUAACUAAUAGGGCGAUUUUGCGGGUGUGCAAAUAUUGUAGAAAAAAUAAUGUUUGGGCUUGAAUGUUUUGCAGGUAUUUUGACAUAUUUAACCCUGCGUAGCAAAAAAUGUUGAAGAAGUAUCGCAAGGAAAACUUUGCUGAGAAAAGACUUGUUUAUAGUGAAAGGAAGGCCAUUGGAAAAUGCCCUGUGACUCCAAAAGAGGUUGGUCUUAUCUUACAUGCAAUGGGGUUUGACAAUUCCAACCGGAUAUAUCUAGCAGCUGGUGAGCUAUUUGGUGGAGAAAGAUUUAUGAGACCUUUUAAAGCCCUGUUCCCUUGACUUGAGAAUCACAGUUCUGUUGACCCACAGUGGAGCUAGCCACGAUCAAUAGUGGAUUGUUAGGAUCUGCUGUGGAUUACUUGGUUUGUCUCCUUGCUGACAUUUUUAUGCCUGCAUAUGAUGGACCAAGCAAUUUUGCCAACAUUCUCCUAGGUCACCGCCUCUAUAUGGCUUCCGGAUUACCAUUAGAGCUGACAGGAAAGGUCUUGCCCCAAUUUUCAUUGAUCGAGAGAAUGGACAUACAGCUGGUUUUGAAGAAGCUGUUAGGCAUGUUAUGCUCAAAACAAACUUUGGUGGUCCUCGCAAGUGAGUUUCACCUGAAUCGUUUUAUACAAUGCUGGUUUUAGAGAGCAUUGUAAUUUCAUAUUUGGCAUUAUGAGCAUGAAAGAUGACAAGGACUGGGAUGAGAAAGCUAAGGGCUCAUGCUGGGUUUGGGUUUGCACUAAUUCAUCAGGGUGUACUCUAUUUUUUCUUUUUUCGGCCGAAGUACCGUAAAAAUCAGAUGAGAUGAUUUUUUUUUUUUCAGCCUGUACUAAAUAUGCUCCUCUCUGAUUGACAUUUAUCAUGGUUCAAACGCAAUAAAAAUAUCAUUUAUGGUAAGUCCUACCACAAUAAAAAUAACAUUAAACUUUAAAUGUAAUUACAUUUGAUGAAGAGAGAUUAAAAGAUAGUUUAAUAUAGCAUGAUAGUUUAAUAUGGCAUCGAAUUAUUGGGUCAGUCUAUUGUUGACGUGAAUUUCUCCUGCCCCACAGCUCGUUGGUUUGUGAUAUUAUGAUCGUCAUCGUCCCACUUUGUGUUUGGGUGGUUUCUUAGUCAAGGCCGUGGGUCGAAAGUCUUUGUGUUUGGAUGGUUUGUUAGUCAAGGUCGCGCGUCGAAUGUCUCCUCAUUUUCAAGGUCACGUAUCCACGGGCCAAGGCCGACUUGCAGCUGUUAAUCUCAACUAGGCACCAAGUUUCUCCAGCAUGAGCUACAGGCUAUUCAAGUAUUUCCCAACUUUGGUCAUAUACUCCUUCCCUUUAUUAUUAUAAUUAUAACAAUAAUCACCGUUCCUUCGUGCUUUCUUCAUUAAAACAAAAAUAAUCAACCUGAAGGAUUUAGAAAAAGGAAAGAAUUUUCAUUUUUCUUAAAAAAUAAGUGAGCUUCACACUUUAUUUUAUCCAUUAUCUGGCGCAAACAUUCUUUGCACCCCCAACUAGGUAAUGACUAAGUACUCCUGUCGCCUUUCCACUUGUUACAGCACCAUCUGAAAGCACAAGGGUAAGCCACUCACCAAGAGUAUCCACUAAUACAUAAUUGAAAAUUUUGCUUCAUGCCGAAGAAUACAGAACCUACUAAGAAUAAAAAAAACAGAACAGUAUUUAAAGCACCACCUCCUCAACCUAGAAUACAGAAGGGAAAAAAUUAAAUUAAAAAAAAAAUGUUGCAUUCAAGGAAAGACGACAUAGGUGAUUCUCCCUGCAUGCUAGCCGUUACUUUCAACCAACAUUUACAUCCAGUAAUUUACAAACAAUAGAUUUUUCAAACACAAAAACAAGGUAGAGAUGAAAAACAAAGACGUGUGAUAAAAAUUAAUUAGCCCGAUGGUUGAGCACGCAACUUGUUUGCAACAUAAAGCAAAUGGCUGAUAUUUGUAGGUGGAUAGUUCUGGAGUAGCUUGAGAUUAGAAGUGAAAUCCCCCGCUAGUAGGCGCCUCCGAAUGAGAAUCAGCAUCGCACAACAUAUUCGAAGUAAAGUUUCCUGAAAGAGUACUUGUUUGUUAGAUUUUACAUUUUCAUUAUCCUCAAAAUGUGAUGCAAACUGAAUCAUAGGCAAUUUGACGCCAAUGCACUCCACUAGAUAAUUGGCCAACAGCAAGUGUGAAUCUAGAGCAAUUCUUGAAUGGAAAUUCCCACCAGAAGAAAAAGGGUUGGUGGGUCGGGCGAGUGAGUUGAAUUCACUUAGACUAUGUUGAGUUAUCACAUAUGGCUCUUAACAUCUAUAAGUUGUCACACGUCAGACUUGGACACUGCCUAGAUGUAACCGUCUCUGUCCGACUUGAAAUUAUUGUCUAAACAGAUAAAAGCAAAUUCUAGAUUUCCUCAUGCCACAGUCAAUAAUGGUCCUCCACAUCUCAUUCAUGACAUAUGAUAUGAUAUCCAAUAUAGCAUGGCAUUAUCUGGAGCAAUGGUCGAAGUAUUGGGUUUGAAACCAAUGGAAUAUGGACCUGUAACUGGGUAAUUGCUUUAUGUAUUCUUCAUCCUACAGCAUCUACACAGAAACUUUAAAAAUUCUGUCAGAGAUUACAACCAAUUGAACAUAUUCCAAUUGGCGAAUAACUACUCCAGCCAUACAAAUGUAUUACAUCCUUCAAAGUGGGUCACUUUGUUGAAACAUUAACAUGAAGAAAACCUCAUAUGAUUCAACGGCAGUCUAAUGGCAGGAAAGUUUGCUGUUUUCACCCACUAUAUUGUGGCCCAUACACCUAGGCAGGAUGUGAUCCUUGUUUUACCUAUGAUACACCAACUCCAAGUAAAAGAACACAGAGGAAAUGAAUUUUACCUGUGGACCUUCAGGGUCACUCAGAAGUGUGUCCCAAAUAUGAAGACUAUCUGCAAAAUUGAACUCCUGAGUCAAGAGGAGAGUAAUCCACCUAAAUGCAUAAAAUUGGGGGUUGACCUUGGUUGUGACCUCAAGAUGGCGCCAAAGUUCUUCAUCAUGUUCUUUCAAAAGCUGUGACAACUUUGUAAUUGUUGAACGAAUCCCAACAACACUGUUAUCAAGUUGCUGACAGAAAUGAUCCCGAAAUCCACUUAAUAAUUCAACAAAACAAAAGAAUGUGUCUGCUUCAGAACAAGCCUGCAAAACUUAAAAACACCAAAUGAUAAAUCAAAAGAAAUCAAAAAGAAAACAAAAUAAACAAAGCAUACAGGUCAUCAUUGACCACAAAUUAAUGAUGACAAUAAGCAUGUUGUACAUUGUCUGUAUUCUCCCUAAUUUGGGGAACAGCAAAUGGGCAGUGUUUAUUCUUUCUGUUUCUUCCCAAAAGAGGCUAAACCCAAGGGAAUGAUAUGACAUUUCUAUCAUCUUCCCUUUCUCUCCCCUCCACGGAACUCCUCAACAAUUUCUUUGAAAACAGUAUGUCCCUUUCAUAUGCUUGUGAAACUAAAGCCGAUAAAUCAUUUGUGAAUUCUACUAAAAGGUAAAUCAAUAUUCAAGUGUUCCCUUAAAUUUGCUGAAAAACAAUUCAUAGAUUAUAGACAAGACAAGAUCAAAUUCAAACUGCAAGCCAGUGAAGAAGGUAAAUACCUAUCAAAAUAUUUUAUGAGAAACAGAUGCAUGAUAUAGAUUGAAAUGGCCAAUUGCAUAAAUAAACAUGAACUUACCGCCAUUUCCUCGUCAGGGUCAUUUCUAAAUACAUAAAAAAGAGGUGCCAGAAUUUCAUUCAUCCCUUGAACAUAUCUUAUGCCCGGAUUUAAUUUAGCAAAUACAAUCAGUAUGUUUUUCAAAGCCUCCUGAUUGGAUUUUGCAAAAGAUGAGUCCCCAGAAAAGAAGUGCAAGUCUGGAUGAGUACGUUUCACAUCUCGGUCAAUUUGCUCCAUGAUCUCUGCGUCCUGGAAGAACUGAUUCCAGAUGCUGGUCUUCCCAAGGCUCAAAGGAUGCUCUCCAUGGGUUAUUUGUGAUCUUGAUAGCAUACCACUGCUUUCACUUUUUGCCUCAUCAUUUUCACAAACUGUGGAUUUCUCCAACCUCCUUGUGAUUUCCGAAGGAUUGAUUAAAAGCUCCUCUUUAAAAUGCUUGUACUGAGACCUCUUCUUAGCCAGUUCACUUGACCAAAGUGAGCGAUCAGCUGGUAAAUACCCCAGUAAAAGCUUCCAGACCUUGGAACGAAUGCCAGCACCAUCAGGUAUCCCCUGAGAUGCAAUUCUCCUUAACUCCCUAAUAUUUACCACCUUCUUCGACAACUCGGUCAAGAGCUGAGCCUGUCUAGAAAUAUCCUCAGCAGAGGGACCGGCAACGGAGUUCCCAUUAUCCUCCUCAUUAUUAUUGAUAUUACUACUAACGCUGUUUCGCGAAUCCUUAUCUUUAUCCUUAAUUUUGAUUUCAGGCUUCGAAGGACGAGGAGGCUGCUCUCUUAUUGAGGCCGGCGUUGAGACCGGAACCGGUGACCCAUCGAGAGGCUCGGUUGCGGUGGCGGUGUCGGCGAUAAUGGAGUGUUUGGACGAGUAGCGUUGAAGGCGAUCGUCGUCGGCGGACGAGGAAGAACUGGUGGUAGUGGCCCAGAGAGAGCUGUUGAGCCAAUCAGGAACCUUUUUCUUCACCAUUUCAAGAGAGAUUGA
rnacentral:misc_RNA from 1 species